rnacentral:pre_miRNA from 1 species
CUUUCCAAGUAAAGUUCUGUGAUACACUCCGACUCUGAAUGUUUGCAGUCAGUGCAUUACAGAACUUUGUUUUGGGAGU